GGAGGAUUUUGGCCCUCCGUCAUCGGCCGGUAGGGGCAGGUGACAAAUCGCCAUAGCGCUGCAUUGGUAAAGAGCCUUUGUGGUGAGCGGCUAUGGAGAAGGCACGGCUUGACUGUGUCAGA
rfam:Phycisphaerae bacterium ST-NAGAB-D1, complete genome.